rnacentral:rRNA from 1 species
AUUGAACGCUGGCGGCAUGCUUUACACAUGCAAGUCGAACGGUAACAGGGUGCUUGCACCGCUGACGAGUGGCGAACGGGUGAGUAAUGCGUCGGAACGUGCCGAGUAGUGGGGGAUAACGCAGCGAAAGUUGUGCUAAUACCGCAUACGUACUGAGGUAGAAAGUGGGGGACCUUCGGGCCUCACGCUAUUCGAGCGGCCGACGUCGGAUUAGCUAGUAGGGGAGGUAAAGGCUCACCUAGGCGACGAUCAGUAGCGGGUCUGAGAGGAUGAUCCGCCACACUGGGACUGAGACACGGCCCAGACUCCUACGGGAGGCAGCAGUGGGGAAUUUUGGACAAUGGGCGAAAGCCUGAUCCAGCCAUGCCGCGUGUCUGAAGAAGGCCUUCGGGUUGUAAAGGACUUUUGUCAGGGAGGAAAUCCCUAGCGUUAAUACCGCUGGGGGAUGACAGUACCUGAAGAAUAAGCACCGGCUAACUACGUGCCAGCAGCCGCCGCGGUAA